UCGAAACGGUAACAGGAAACAGCUUGCUGNUUUNGCUGACGAGUGGCGGACGGGUGAGUAAUGUCUGGGAAACUGCCUGAUGGAGGGGGAUAACUACUGGAAACGGUAGCUAAUACCGCAUAACGUCGCAAGACCAAAGAGGGGGACCUUCGGGCCUCUUGCCAUCGGAUGUGCCCAGAUGGGAUUAGCUNGUNGGUGGGGUAACGGCUCACCUAGGCGACGAUCCCUAGCUGGUCUGAGAGGAUGACCAGCCACACUGGAACUGAGACACGGUCCAGNACUCCUAUCGGGAGGGCACCCAGUGGGGAAAUAUUGCACCAAUNGGGNCGCAAAGCCNUGANUGCNAGCCAUUGCCGCGNUGUAUAAAAGAANGGCCCUUUCGGGUUGUAAAAGUACUUUUCAGCGGGGGAGGGAAGGGAGUAAAAGUUUAAUACCCUUUGCUCCAUUGACGUUACCCCCAGAAGAAGGCACCGGCUAACUUCCGUGCCAGCAGCCCGCNGGUAAUACGGAGGGGUGCCAAGCGUUAAUUCGGAAUUUACNUGGGCGUAAAAGCGNCACGCAGGCGGUUUGUUAAAGUCAGAUGUGNAAAUCCCCGGGGCUCAACCUNGGGAACUGCAUCUGAUACUGGCAAGCUUGAGUCUCGUAGAGGGGGGUAGAAUUNCCAGGUGUAGCGGUGAAAUGCGUAGAGAUCUGGAGGAAUACCGGUGGGCGAAGGCGGCCCCCUGGACGAAGACUGACGCUCAGGUGCGAAAGCGUGGGGAGCAAACAGGAUUAGAUACCCUGGUAGUCCACGCCGUAAACGAUGUCGACUUGGAGGUUGUGCCCUUGAGGCGUGGCUUCCGGAGCUAACGCGUUAAGUCGACCGCCUGGGGAGUACGGCCGCAAGGUUAAAACUCAAAUGAAUUGACGGGGGNCCCCCACAAGCGGUGGAGCAUGUGGUUUAAUUCGAUGCAACGCGAAGAACCUUACCUGGUCUUGACAUCCACNGAAAUUUUCCAAAGAUGAAAAUGUGCCUUCGGGAACNGUGAAACAGGUGCUGCAUGGCUGUCCUCACCUCGUGUUGUGAAAUGUUGGGUUAAGUCCCGCAACGAGCGCAACCCUUAUCCUUUGUUGCCAGCGGUCCGGCCGGGAACUCAAAGGAAACUGCCAGUGAUAAACUGGAAAAAGGUGGGGAAUGANCNNGUCAAGUCAUCAUGGCCCUUACGACCAGGGCUACACAC
rnacentral:rRNA from 2 species